CACGCUGUAAACGAUGAGUACUAGGUGUCGGGGGUUACCCCCCUCGGUGCCGCAGCUAACGCAUUAAGUACUCCGCCUGGGAAGUACGCGCGCAAGAGUGAAACUCAAAGGAAUUGACGGGGACCCGAACAAGUAGCGGAGCAUGUGGUUUAAUUCGAAGCAACGCGAAGAACCUUACCUAAGCUUGACAUCCCAAUGACAUCUCCUUAAUCGGAGA
rnacentral:rRNA from 1 species